GCUUGUCUGAAAAAUGAGCUGAAAGAAAUCGGGAACCCUCUUUAUAAAAUGUAUACUAGGACGAAUCUCGGAAGCACAUCUGUGUACAUGAAGGGCGGAUUCACGAAACACAACGGCGAAUGUCCCAGCAAUACCGAUAUCGGA